rnacentral:rRNA from 1 species
GACGUAGGGUGCGAGCGUUUGUCCGGAUUUUAUUGGGCGUAAAGAGCUCGUAGGCGGCUCGUCGCGUCGGCCCGUGAAAACCAGCAGCUUAACUGCUGGCUUGCGGUUGAUACGGGCGGGCUAGAGUUCGGUAGGGGGAGACUGGAAUUCCUGGUGUAGCGGUGAAAAUGCGCAGAUAUCAGGAGGAACACCGGUGGCGAAAGGCGGGGUCUCUGGG